rnacentral:tRNA from 1 species
GGGUGUGUAGUCCAACGGAAGAACAGCAGACUGUUAAUCUGCAUAUAGGAGUUCAACUCUCCUCACACCCUUA